UACGUAGGGUGCAGGCGUUAAUCGGAAUUACUGGGCGUAAAGUGUGCGCAGGCGGCAGAGCAAGUCGAGUGUGAAAGCCCCGGGCUUAACUUGGGAAUUGCGCUCGAAACUACUUUGCUGGAGUGUGGCGGAGGAAGGUGGAAUUCCACGUGUAGCGGUGAAAUGCGUAGAGAUGUGGAGGAACACCAAUGGCGAAGGCAGCCUUCUGGGCCAACACUGACGCUCAUGCACGAAAGCGUGGGGAGCAAACAGG
rnacentral:rRNA from 1 species